GCAGGACUGGCUGAAGACCAACCUGGCCAAGUUCUCGCGCAUGAUGCAGGGGCAGAAGGACCUGGACUCGGUCGCGCGCCUGAUCAUGUCGGAGCUGACGCCGCUCAUCGGCGCGAGCCACGGCGCCUUCUA
rnacentral:misc_RNA from 1 species